rnacentral:rRNA from 1 species
CGAGCGGAAACGACACUAACAAUCCUUCGGGUGCGUUAAUGGGCGUCGAGCGGCGGACGGGUGAGUAAUGCCUAGGAAAUUGCCUUGAUGUGGGGGAUAACCAUUGGAAACGAUGGCUAAUACCGCAUAACGCCUACGGGCCAAAGAGGGGGACCUUCGGGCCUCUCGCGUCAAGAUAUGCCUAGGUGGGAUUAGCUAGUUGGUGAGGUAAUGGCUCACCAAGGCGACGAUCCCUAGCUGGUCUGAGAGGAUGAUCAGCCACACUGGAACUGAGACACGGUCCAGACUCCUACGGGAGGCAGCAGUGGGGAAUAUUGCACAAUGGGCGAAAGCCUGAUGCAGCCAUGCCGCGUGUAUGAAGAAGGCCUUCGGGUUGUAAAGUACUUUCAGUUGUGAGGAAGGGGGUAGCGUUAAUAGCGCUAUCUCUUGACGUUAGCAACAGAAGAAGCACCGGCUAACUCCGGGCCAGCAGCCGCGGUAAUACGGAGGGUGCGAGCGUUAAUCGGAAUUACUGGGCGUAAAGCGCAUGCGGGUGGUUCAUUAAGUCAGAUGUGAAAGCCCGGGGCUCAACCUCGGAACUGCAUUUGAAACUGGUGAACUAGAGUACUGUAGAGGGGGGUAGAAUU